ACAUACAACCCAACUAAUUUACUGACAAAAACAAUGGUCUUUACUGCUAAAAAAUGGGUUGACUUGGUCAACCUGUCGACUAUGACCCAAAUAGCAUUGUGUGCAGAUCUAGUUCCCAGCAAUCCUAUGAUCAAAUCCAGGGUCACAUAUUCCAUUAUGGAAUGGGAAGGAACUAUAAAAGAUGGUUGGGUCUCUGAUGUUCCACUUUAACCUGUUGACAAGUAAGACACCUGAAAACAAAGUCGUUAAUAUCGUGUUUCAUAACUGGCUACUAGAAAUGGAGUCUCAGAUCUCGAUAGAUCUUGGUGUUACCGAG
rnacentral:lncRNA from 1 species